rnacentral:lncRNA from 1 species
GAAGUCAGGCGUCCACCUGGAGAAUGAGGACAAAGAAGAGAAGAAGUCAGGUGUCCACCUGGAGAAUGAGGAUGAAAAAAGAAAAGAAGCAGUCAAGGCACCCACCUGAAGAACGAGGGAAUGAAAUUGAAGUGUUGAAAUCAAAAAGCCCGCUCAUAUGAAAGGAGCACACUUAGAACCGAUAAAGCAAAGGAUUCCAACAGAAUCCCCAGCAAGAAACAACAAGAAUCCCAAAAGAAAAUACGGGACACAAUGAAAGGAAUACGGAAUAAGACAAAUGCCCAAGAGUCACCAAGAUAUCAAGACAACAAGAAACGCAAGGGCAUGAUCUAGAUAAGAUUUUAUAAUUCAUGUACCAUAGUCUAGUUUAAUUUUGUAUUUCCUUUAAAGUAAGGUGUAAUAAGGAGGUCAGCAAGCAGUAAAAACAGCACGAAGCAGCAGUAACAUCA